AUCGAACGCUGGCGGCAGGCCUAACACAUGCAAGUCGAGCGAGCGGCGGACGGGUGAGUAAUGUAUGGGGACUGCCCGAUAGAGGGGGAUAACUACUGGAAACGGUAGCUAAUACCGCAUACUAUCGGAUAACCCAUAUGGGAUUAGCUAGUAGGUGAGGUAAUGGCUCACCUAGGCGACGAUCCCUAGCUGGUCUGAGAGGAUGAUCAGCCACACGGGGACGGGGAACCGGCCCAGACUCCUACGGAGGCAGCAGUGGGAAAUAUUGCACAAUGGGGGAAAGCCUGAUGCAGCAAUGCGGGGUGGAUGAAGAGGGCCUUAGGGUUGUAAAGUACGUUCAGUCGGGAGGCGUUACCGACAGAAGAAGCACCGGCUAACUCCGUGCCAGCAGCCGCGGUAAUAC
rnacentral:rRNA from 1 species